UAUUCUAUAGACAUGCUUCACAACAUAAACAGCGUGCGGACACGUUGCUGACACGCACAGUUCAACGUUAGGUUGCAACCGUAGUAUGCAAUCGCAAAUAACGCGACGCUUCCUUAUGUUCGGGCCGUCCCGUUUGUGAACAUCCGCUACGCUUCUUUUGGGUUGUUCACUUGAGCUGUCGAACGUCGUUCGUAUCGUUUCCCAUGAUGGACGCUGUGAACCACGUCACGAUCAACUUAUAUAUCACAGAACCAUUUCGUCCGUCCCCAACUCUAGAGAAAGCCGUCAAAGUGGCGACAAAAGCCGUCGAAGAGGACGAGAAGCACAACUACCCCGCAGCCCUCCGCCUCUACGAGCGAGCCAUCAAAGAAUUUAAUCGUGCCCUCAAACGCGAAGUACAGACUGAUGCAUCGAAGCAGUUGGUCCGAGACAAGUGCGACCUGUACUCGGACAGGGCCGGAUUGAUCAGAGAGCAUCUGUAUGGAAACAGCGACAAGGAGGGACUCAUCGACAGCGAUGAUGAGCGCCGGAAGAAGAGAAGGUUCUGGCUGUGUUGUUAAACUUUGUGUUGGUUGAUGGAAAGUGUUCCGCGCGCAUUUAAUAUGUGAGUAUUUAAUAUAUGCACGGAAUUUUCGCCGUGUCGCGGAUAGCCAGUGCAAUGUUCCUACGAAAGCCGUUAUGCAUACCUGACAGCCAGUACCUCUUUCAUUGUUACUAGCCGGUGGCGUUUCUCAACCCCUUGUGUGGCCCUUUAUCUCUCCCUCAGGCUACGCCACUGUUAUCAGCCUCUUGUUCUUUGUGAGUACUCUUUUUUUGUGAUAUAUGAAAAAAAAAAAAAAAAUGGCUGC
rnacentral:lncRNA from 1 species